rnacentral:rRNA from 1 species
CCUACGGGUGACAGCAGUCGAGAAUCAUUCACAAUGGGGGAAACCCUGAUGGUGCGACGCCGCGUGGGGGAAUGAAGGUCUUCGGAUUGUAAACCCCUGUCAUGUGGGAGCAAAUUAAAAAGAUAGUACCACAAGAGGAAGAGACGGCUAACUCUGUGCCAGCAGCCGCGGUAAUACAGAGGUCUCAAGCGUUGUUCGGAAUCACUGGGCGUAAAGCGUGCGUAGGCUGUUUCGUAAGUCGUGUGUGAAAGGCGCGGGCUCAACCCGCGGACGGCACAUGAUACUGCGAGACUAGAGUAAUGGAGGGGGAACCGGAAUUCUCGGGGUAGCAGUGAAAGGCGUAGAUAUCGAGAGGAACACUCGUGGCGAAGGCGGGUUCCUGGACAUUAACUGACGCUGAGGCACGAAGGCCAGGGGAGCAAAAGGGAUUAGAUACCCCGGUAGUC